CUGUAGGGGCCUCGCGGCCCCUGCUGAGAUUGCACCCACUGUCUUUGGCGCACCGUACGUUUCCUCGGCAGGCCCGCCUGCCAACGGGGACCCGAACCAAACCUUCUUGCAAUUGCAGUAAACGUCUCAAACAAACAAAUCA
rnacentral:misc_RNA from 1 species